CCCACCCCGCCGGACUGGGCUCUCCCGCCAGCCCCCUGCUCUCCGGACUGAGCAGGGUAGCCGGAGCGCUUCGACUGCAUGGACGGCAGACGGGAGGCAACUUAGCAGCGCUCCAGGCUGCGGUCACGCGCGCUCCCAUGGCCCUCGGAGGCUGAGCGCGGGGGAGAGGGGAGCCCGGAAGAAGCGACUCGGACCACGAAGGACCUUCUUGCUUCCAAGGUAGGAGAAGGAAGAUGCCCGAGGGAAGUUGAGCUUUGGGAGAAGGAGGGUGGGCUGCGCCCUCUUCGCUGGACCACAGCCGGGCGAGUUUGGCUUGAUCUCACUGUGCACCAGGAGUGCUCCGCAGCGCGGACCCGCGGACCCUCGGGAAAGCACGUUUGGAAAGUUGUCUGUGCCCUCUGCGCCCUGUUGUGUAACCUCUGCGCCGCCUGCCAGACAGGGAAGUUGCCGGUCGGCCCGCCAGCCUGCUUCGGUCACGGAUGCGAGCGAAUUUCAUGGCCCGAGGCGAACGCGCGCCCGGAGCCAGCGAGUGCGAGCCCCCGCGCGCCCCCUUCGGCGGGGAUCCCCCGCGCCCGAGUCCUUCCACUCGCCGGCUUUUCCGAUGCUCGCUGCGUGCGGUGCCAUCGCCGCCCUCUCGCCGCCGCUUGUCCUUCGUACCUGCUGCCUAAAUCGGGGAGGAGAGAAUGACCGAGGUUCUGUGGCCGGCUGCCCCCAACGGGACGGACGCUGCCUUCCUGGCCAGUCCGGGCUUUCACUGGGGAAACAGCACAGCCACCUCCACCGCCGCCGCUGCCGCCCCCUUCAGAUGUGCCCUGACCAAGACAGGCUUCCAGUUCUACUACCUGCCGGCCGUCUACAUCGUAGUGUUCAUCAUCGGCUUUCUGGGCAACAGCAUAGCCAUCUGGAUGUUUGUCUUCCAUAUGAAACCUUGGAGCGGCAUCUCCGUGUACAUGUUCAACUUGGCCCUGGCCGACUUCUUGUAUGUGCUGACUCUGCCAGCCCUCAUCUUCUACUACUUCAAUAAGACCAACUGGAUCUUCGGGGAUGCCAUGUGCAAACUGCAGAGAUUCAUCUUCCACGUGAACCUGUAUGGAAGUAUCUUGUUCCUGACGUGCAUCAGCGCACACAGGUACAGCGGCGUGGUGUACCCACUCAAGUCCCUGGGCAGGCUCAAAAAGAAGAACGCUGUCUACAUCAGUGUGCUCGUGUGGCUCAUCGUGGUGGUGGCCAUCUCUCCCAUUCUGUUCUACUCUGGAACCGGAAUCCGGAAAAACAAAACCAUCACCUGCUAUGACACCACCUCAGAUGAGUAUCUGCGAAGUUAUUUCAUCUACAGCAUGUGCACCACCGUGGCCAUGUUCUGUGUCCCCUUGGUACUGAUUCUGGGCUGUUACGGAUUAAUUGUGAGAGCUUUGAUUUACAAAGACCUGGACAACUCGCCUUUGAGGAGGAAAUCCAUUUACCUGGUGAUUAUUGUACUGACUGUUUUUGCUGUAUCUUAUAUCCCUUUCCAUGUGAUGAAAACGAUGAAUUUGAGAGCCCGGCUAGAUUUUCAGACUCCAGAAAUGUGUACUUUCAAUGACAGGGUGUAUGCUACUUAUCAGGUGACAAGAGGUCUAGCAAGUCUCAACAGCUGUGUGGACCCCAUUCUGUAUUUCUUGGCUGGUGAUACUUUUAGAAGGAGACUUUCCCGAGCAACCAGGAAAGCUUCCAGAAGAAGUGAGGCAAAUUUGCAAUCCAAGAGUGAAGACAUGACCCUCAAUAUUUUAUCGGAGUUCAAGCAAAAUGGAGAUACAAGCUUGUGAAGGCACAAGAAUUCCCAAACACCUCACUUUGUAACAUGGUAGGAUGCUUAACAGAGCCAAGUACUUUCUCCCCUUUGAGUUUCUAGUAAAAUUAUAAAAAUCGAAACAAGAAAGUAGUGAAUUAAAAAAAAAAAUAGAGCAGCAAAAGAGCCCACAUUCAUACUUAAUUAUUUGGUUUUGUCGUCAGUCUCGCUUCUGACUGACUAGAGGUAUGUCUAAUAAAACAAUACUGCAUAGUUAAACAUUUACUUUUCUUCUGCCUUAAGUUACAAGCUUUUUGUAAAGUGUGUAUGCACAUGAAUACUGGAGCUGUUUUAAUAUUGAGAAGUUCUCAAAUAAUCUAGACCCCAAAACUUGAAUUUUUAAAAAAUUUUUACAGGCUUUAUCAUUUUUAAUAAACCAUGGCAUGAACAAGCUGGAAAUCCAAAUUCCUAAAAUAUUUAGCACAGCCUAUCAAAUUUCAUUCAAUACAGAUCUUGCUAUCUUUUUCAAUUCCUCGCAAGCAUAAAUGGUAGCUGCAUUUCUUUGGGGAAUUGAGUAGAAAAGUAAAGUCAAUGAACCUAAAAGUCUGAAAAUUUUAAUUUUUCUGUUAUUUCUAGAAAGCUGCAUAUUGGGUGCUAAAUGUUGAUGGUGGAAUCCUGAAUCUGUAAUCUUAGUGGAAGAUGCAAUGCAGAUGUCACAGUGCAUCUGUUUUCAUUGUAAACACCAUGAACCUGUUAGACUUCCUGAAAUAAAGCACAUUUACUUGUACUACUGUUGUGCAAGACCUUAGGACUUUGUGUUCCAAGACAAGGGCUCACUCACAUCUGAAAUAACAGUUUUUCAAGACUCACAGUUAAGUUACAGACUAAAGUUUGAGUAAAGUUAAAUAAUUGUUUUCAAAUGGAGGGAUAUGGAGCAUGAGAACAGUAUUUUCAGAAGGGGUGUGGCUGGCAGUCAUGCACCGUGCAUAGCCUAGAAUAUAGUCCUCCCAAGUAUGUGAGGCAGCUGGAGGGGGAUAGAAAGAAGGCCUUUUGGAAUAACGUCUCUAAAAUCACAGUGUGAAAGGGUUCUUUUUGCUUCGAGGCAUUUAAAAUAUGAAAUGCAGCAUGAAAAGAAAGAGAAAUAGAAUUUUUACAGGCUGUGUUGAUAGCAUGGGAAGCUAUAAUAUGUUAAUAAGUCUUAUAUCCUAACACAUAGAGAAACAGAAAUGCAUAUGGAAAGAUAAAUACAGAGAAUUAAAGUAUAGUAGCUCUGAGAAGUAAACUGCAACAUACUAUUCAAACUACUAGUAAUUAAAGAGAAAAAGACAGGUCAGUGUAUUUUGUAUUUGUUCUCUGCCAGGCAUUAAUGAGAGAUUUGCAAAAUAUUUCAACAACAUUAAUAACAAUUUUCUUUCUUCCUUAUUUUUGUCAUUGGUACAUGUUUGCAGUACAUUGGUACAUGUUUAUAUUCCCUGUAUGGAGUUGGUACAAGUAUAUGACACAUCUGCAUUCCUUUUUUCAGUCCCUUUUCUUCCCUCAUUCCUCUUCUCCUCCAUCUCUGAAGUGAUGGAUUUCUUGCCCUUAAAAUAGUUAAAAUUUGUAUAAUGAGAAUAUGAGUAAAUAUAGUUACCAAAAAUGAGUAAGUUUACUGUCCAAGAACUUUUAGUUGUGAAAGCUAGCCCUUAUGAAGUCCUCAUCAGAGUUUAUAACUAAUAAUCAAGUAACUUGUUUAAAAACACCUUGUAAUUUAAGAAAUAUGGGGUUGUAGCACACUAUGGGACAUAAGAACAGGGAAGUGAGGAUCAGCUCUUGAAAUGCCCAGGUAGAUUGAACAUUUAUGUGAUAUUCAGAGCUGCUUCAGCUUAAUCUCUAGCCACUAGGAUCAAUGUUUUAAAAGCUAUAUUUUGCCUACUUGCAUAGUGGCACUUUUUAUAUGUUCAUACUUAAUGUAUAAGGUUAUAAAAACCUCAUUGAGAAGACUUGUCCACUUCCUCAUUGUGAGGUUUUCAAAUUUCUCAUGAGGCUUAUAACAACACUGUUUUUGAAUCCUAAAAGGCAGACCCUAAAACACCGCGUUUACUGUAUUAGUCCUUUUAUACGUAUGUUCAGUGAAACAAGAUCAAUAUAGUUAAACUGACCAAAAUAGUAAUUUCAGAGCCUGCACCAUACUUGAACUCACAGCAUAAUGUACACAUUUCUAUUACAUUUCCUCACCAUGUAAUUUAGUUUCCUUCCUUUUAGGUCUCAGGAUACCCAUGCUGGUUUUGAGUAUAUGCAGUUUGUUUCAGCUUCCAGGGAACUUUCUUUGGGAGAGUGGGUCCAGCUAGGAGUGCACAGUGACUCGAUUUGCCCUUUUACUUCUUGGCAUGCUUUUUCCAGGUUGUUUCUUUUCUGUUUCUUUACCUAGCUUUAGGGUUUGAACCUAGGUAUUUGAACAUGUUAGGCCCUCUACUACUGAGCUACAUCCCCAUCCACAAAAGUGUUUUGCUCUUAGCUUUAUACAUCAUGCCAGGGGUAACGACAUGAUAUGCCGAACAGUAAUAAGAAUGAUCUUUCCAACUUCUUCCAGGCCAAGAGAAGUACCUGGAAAGAUCUGUGUGAAAACUUAUAGAGGGUCAGGAUGAAGCACUGAUCUGUCAGCUGAAAAGCUGAUUCAUGCCAUGUGAUGAUAUGAGGUCCAAAGAUACUCAGAUACAAAUUCCCAAGAAAAUUGCAAGUUAUAAUUACAGAAUUCAGAAGACAGCUAUCCAGGUAUACAUUUAAGUCGUCAUAUAUAAGUUGUAACUUCCAUGGCAGCUAUGUAUGAGGUAAAGGAUAUUGGCUACUGCAAGGAAAAAUCUGAGCAUAAAAACUGGGAAAUUAUGAAGAAUACAUGAAGGUGGCUUAGAUGAUUAGAAUGAGAGGAAAACACACAUAAAUACGUAAACUUAACCUUUUUGAGAAGAGAAAAAUGUAAGUUCAACAUUUCUGAAAUCAAGUAUGUUAAGAAAUAAAAUAAUUCAUUGGGUAUCAAAUAUGUUAGAUAAGUUUGGUUAAAUAGAGUCAUUGUGGAAUGUAAUUACAUGAAAAAUCUUGAAGAAGGAAUAGGAAGUGUGGAAGUUUGAUGUGGAAUACAUUUUUCUUAGAACAGCUAUGGGUAGAAUGAAAGAAUGAGGAUUCUAGAGAUAUUUUUAUGUUUUGUUUGACUUGCAAAAGAUGUAAGAGGAUUCAGCAAGGAACCAGAACUGAGAAUGAAAGAUAAAAAUAAAUGACUUGCAGUUGUUUUGAAGGGAUAGGAAGGAGAUACACUGAUAACACAAGUGGCAGAGCUAACUCUGAUCAAGUGAAGCUAUGACUGCCUUCCUUUUGAGCCAAAUGAUCUUGGAGAAAGACCCCUAAGUUUCAAGGUGCAAAAGUGCAGGCAAGGCUAUGUUCACAUGGUAGCUUCAAUUUCUUUCUUGAAGGAUAACACUGGGAAAGCACUUGUCAUUGAAAUGGAACAGGCUAGCGAGUGUUGAAAAGGAGAGAUUUUUAAAGGAGCUUAUGGUCUGAGCAUGGGAUACUGAAGCGUAGGAUUUCUCAGUUCACUAAUGAUGAGAAUGAAAGACACACAGUAAAAUAAGAGAUGAAGAAAGCAGGGAGCUGUCAUGGAUGAGUAGUUCUCACAGUGAGCCCUAGGAUUCUGAUAGAAAUCAGGGGCAGGAAAACAGAGUCAGGUCCAAAGUUCUCAGUGCUACUGUGAUUGCGGUGAUACUGACAAGAAGAAGGAGUGACAUUGAUGACACGAAUUUCAGAACAGGAUGAUUUCUGUAGAAAGACUUGCAAACAGUGGUCCACCAACCCCCAUGGGGAGCUGAAAGAAUGCGAUUUUUGCCAUAUUUUGAGAAUAAAGGCAUUAGGGAGAAAAGCAAAUCCUUCCCCUGAGAGGACUACAAAGAUAGUUCUGUUUUCUGAGCAGAGCCAAGUUUCAGUUAAUUAAUCAUGAUUAUGAUGAUGAUAGCAGCAUUUAUUAACACAUUACAAUCUAGGCACUUUUCCAAAUUUUUAUUCAUAGAAAGUUAUUUAUAACAAGCUAGAAGCAGUGGUGAUUUGUGAAGAUGCUGAUGGUUAAAAAAGAUGUGUUUUCGAUGAUAAAAUAAGUAAACUCCAGAAAGGUGCAAUGAAAAGGAUGGCAGAGUCAACAGGGAAAGUCAGCAAAACAUGCACAAUGUUGUAAUUAGAGAAUUAGCUUUUUAAGAAUUUGGCUACAGGCAGGGCUUGUGAAUCUUAUUCUUCAGAGGCACCACUUGUGGAUUCUCAAGGAGGAUAUACAAAAUAAAUAAGAAAAAAACCCCUCUAAAAUGACACAGCUUGUAACCAACUUAUAUGUAACCAUUGAUAUGUGUAAGGUAGGAUAUGCAGGUGACCCAUAAUUAUUCUUUUUUUUCUUGCUCUGAUUUAAGAUUCAGACUAAAAGAAAGUACAGGUAUCAUCUGUUUGACACCGCUCCUCACUCCAGCCUACAUUCUAAUGUCUUAGAAGAUGAAUCACAAACUUUUAUGCUGUGAGUCAAAUCUUAAUUGUGUUUGACCCAAAAACAUUUUUAAAUUUUAAUUAAUUCUCAACACUUGAAAAUUCAGGGCUUUUGUUUAAGGGACAAAGGAAGGUUAGAAUGAAAGAAAGAAGUUCAACUAACAUAACAAAUGGGGCUGUUAAGCAGCUCCAGUGGCCAAGUUUCAUCUCAGUUUCCCCAGGAAUUUUGCAGUUUCAACCAUGGGAAGCUUAUUUCCUCAAACCCUCUCACUUAUAAGAAAACUAGAAUAGCUGGACACAUGAGGUUCCCAUGCUCUUUUUAGACUGACAUAUCACAAUUUGAUGUUUGCUGAAAAUACUAUCACAUCAAUAGUUUUAAUUUGAUUAUCUCCUGUAGAUUGUUGAGUUUUCUAGAUUUUGGUCUGUCAAAGGAAGGACUUAACUGUUUUAAUUCUCCCAGACCAAGGAAGUGUAUCCUCAAAGGAAACUGACUGCCCUAAUUAAAAUAUCUUAAUGAUACAGAGAAAAGAAGUCCACAUAGAUGACUAGUUAAAAAGAAGAUAAAAGCCCACAAAUCCACCACGAAAUUUAUUAGCAUCUAUCCCAUACAUUCAUUGUACUCUAAAAUUUAACCUCAAUAAUGGCUUAUUUUGAUUUCAUAGCUUCUUGUGGGUGUACCUAGGUAGAGUUGGCCAUAUAUUACAUGCUGGUUAUACUUGGUGGCAAAAGAAAGAAAGAAAGAAAGAAAGAAAGAAAGAAAGAAAGAAAGAAAGAAAGAAAGAAAGGAAGAAAGAAAGAAAGAAAAAAUAGAA